UACGUAGGGUGCAAGCGUUAAUCGGAAUUACUGCGCGUAAAGCGUGCGCAGGCGGUUUUGUAAGUCUGUCGUGAAAGCCCCGGGCUCAACCUGGGAAUUGCGAUGGAGACUGCAAGGCUUGAAUCUGGCAGAGGGGGGUAGAAUUCCACGUGUAGCAGUGAAAUGCGUAGAGAUGUGGAGGAACACCGAUGGCGAAGGCAGCCCCCUGGGUCAAGAUUGACGCUCAUGCACGAAAGCGUGGGGAGCAAACAGG
rnacentral:rRNA from 1 species